rnacentral:rRNA from 1 species
GUGGGGAAUAUUGGACAAUGGGCGAAAGCCUGAUCCAGCCAUGCCGCGUGUGUGAAGAAGGUCUUCGGAUUGUAAAGCACUUUAAGUUGGGAGGAAGGGCAGUAAGUUAAUACCUUGCUGUUUUGACGUUACCGACAGAAUAAGCACCGGCUAACUUCGUGCCAGCAGCCGCGGUAAUACGAAGGGUGCAAGCGUUAAUCGGAAUUACUGGGCGUAAAGCGCGCGUAGGUGGUUUUGUAAGUUGGAGGUGAAAUACCCGGGCUCAACCUGGGAACUACCUCCAAAACUGCAUGACUAGAGUACGGUAGAGGGUAGUGGAAUUUCCUGUGUAGCGGUGAAAUGCGUAGAUAUAGGAAGGAACACCAGUGGCGAAGGCGACUACCUGGACUGAUACUGACACUGAGGUGCGAAAGCGUGGGGAGCAAACAGGAUUAGAAACCCCUGUAGUCC